rnacentral:rRNA from 1 species
AACGAACGCUGGCGGCAGGCCUAACACAUGCAAGUCGAGCGAGGACUUCGGUCCUAGCGGCGGACGGGUGAGUAACGCGUGGGAACGUGCCCCUUGGUACGGAAUAGCCCCGGGAAACUGGGAGUAAUACCGUAUGAGCUCUACGGAGGAAAGAUUUAUCGCCAAGGGAUCGGCCCGCGUUGGAUUAGGUAGUUGGUGGGGUAAUGGCCUACCAAGCCGACGAUCCAUAGCUGGUUUGAGAGGAUGAUCAGCCACACUGGGACGAAGACACGGCCCAGACUCCUACGGGAGGCAGCAGUGGGGAAUCUUGGACAAUGGGCGCAAGCCUGAUCUAGCCAUGCCGCGUGAGCGAUGAAGGCCUUAGGGUUGUAAAGCUCUUUCAGCUGGGAGGAUAAUGACUGUACCAGCAGAAGAAGCCCCGGCUAACUCCGUGCCAGCCGCCGCGGUAA